UUUGGCACCAUGACGAUCAA
rnacentral:miRNA from 1 species